CUCCUUUUUUUCUGAGCUGCUGGGGGAAUAAAUUCAUUAAAGGCAGAUAGAUGCCAAGCAAGCACCCAGGAGAAGGUCGGCAGAGUAGUGACUAAGCCUUUCCCCAUGCCCAAGAAGGGCAGCAAAGAUGGAUGAGGUAAUGCACCGCCUCUGAUAUUACCACAAAUAUUAGAGCAGCUUUACAUAAGGAGCUUUUGUUCUCUCAGCUGCCAUGAGCAGCUCCCCAAGGAGGAUUUUUAGCUCCCUUCCAGGCUAUUUCAGCCCCCAGCUCCUGACGCAACGCAUGGCAAACGUGACACAACACAACGCAAACCCCACGCCAGCAGAGUCACUUGUCACAGACGCUUCUGAACGGCCUCAGUGCUGCACAACCAGGGAAGACUGUACAGGAGCCUGCUGUGCUUCCCAGCCCUCCCAAAUCCAGCCCUCAGAGACAGCAGCACCAAGUCACUGCAACACUGGUGACUCACUUCACUCUGAUGAGCUAUUUGUCAGGACACUGGAUCAAAGCACUGGAGCAAUAAUGGGGAACACUUUUGGAGAACUGCAGCGACAGGAAUCCUGGAGCUUUAACCCAUCAGUGUGACACCUCACAGGAACUGGCCCUUGCAGAGCCAAAAAUUCAAUUCCAGCAACAUCCUGGCUGGGGCCAUGGGGCUUGUCUUGGUUCCCUGCUCAGCUCUCGAUCUGUGGUGCCAGCUCAGGG
rnacentral:lncRNA from 1 species